rnacentral:rRNA from 1 species
AGAGUUUGAUCCGGCUCAGGAUGAACGCUAGCUACAGGCUUAACACAUGCAAGUCGAGGGGCAGCAUUUUAGUUUGCUUGCAAACUAAAGAUGGCGACCGGCGCACGGGUGAGUAACACGUAUCCAACCUGCCGAUAACUCGGGGAUAGCCUUUCGAAAGAAAGAUUAAUAUCCGAUAGUAUAUUAAAACCGCAUGGUUUUACUAUUAAAGAAUUUCGGUUAUCGAUGGGGAUGCGUUCCAUUAGUUUGUUGGCGGGGUAACGGCCCACCAAGACUACGAUGGAUAGGGGUUCUGAGAGGAAGGUCCCCCACAUUGGAACUGAGACACGGUCCAAACUCCUACGGGAGGCAGCAGUGAGGAAUAUUGGUCAAUGGACGAGAGUCUGAACCAGCCAAGUAGCGUGAAGGAUGACUGCCCUAUGGGUUGUAAACUUCUUUUAUAUGGGAAUAAAGUAUUCCACGUGUGGAAUUUUGUAUGUACCAUAUGAAUAAGGAUCGGCUAACUCCGUGCCAGCAGCCGCGGUAAUACGGAGGAUCCGAGCGUUAUCCGGAUUUAUUGGGUUUAAAGGGAGCGUAGGUGGAUUGUUAAGUCAGUUGUGAAAGUUUGCGGCUCAACCGUAAAAUUGCAGUUGAAACUGGCAGUCUUGAGUACAGUAGAGGUGGGCGGAAUUCGUGGUGUAGCGGUGAAAUGCUUAGAUAUCACGAAGAACUCCGAUUGCGAAGGCAGCUCACUAGACUGCAACUGACACUGAUGCUCGAAAGUGUGGGUAUCAAACAGGAUUAGAUACCCUGGUAGUCCACACAGUAAACGAUGAAUACUCGCUGUUUGCGAUAUACAGUAAGCGGCCAAGCGAAAGCAUUAAGUAUUCCACCUGGGGAGUACGCCGGCAACGGUGAAACUCAAAGGAAUUGACGGGGGCCCGCACAAGCGGAGGAACAUGUGGUUUAAUUCGAUGAUACGCGAGGAACCUUACCCGGGCUUAAAUUGCAUUUGAAUAAUCUGGAAACAGGUUAGCCGCAAGGCAAAUGUGAAGGUGCUGCAUGGUUGUCGUCAGCUCGUGCCGUGAGGUGUCGGCUUAAGUGCCAUAACGAGCGCAACCCUUAUCUUUAGUUACUAACAGGUCAUGCUGAGGACUCUAGAGAGACUGCCGUCGUAAGAUGUGAGGAAGGUGGGGAUGACGUCAAAUCAGCACGGCCCUUACGUCCGGGGCUACACACGUGUUACAAUGGGGGGUACAGAAGGCAGCUACCUGGUGACAGGAUGCUAAUCCCAAAAACCUCUCUCAGUUCGGAUCGAAGUCUGCAACCCGACUUCGUGAAGCUGGAUUCGCUAGUAAUCGCGCAUCAGCCAUGGCGCGGUGAAUACGUUCCCGGGCCUUGUACACACCGCCCGUCAAGCCAUGAAAGCCGGGGGUACCUGAAGUACGUAACCGCAAGGAGCGUCCUAGGGUAAAACUGGUAAUUGGGGCUAAGUCGUAACAAGGUACCCGUA